GGUUCCUAUGAAGGAAUCGACGGCAUAGGGUCGAUCAGAGUAUAUACUCUUCGACCUUUCUUCUUCCUUCCCACUUCACUCAGCAACCAAACCAGAGAGCUUCGACCAAACCCAGAAAAACCCUCGCCGCAGCCCCCUUCUCCCCACCCUAUCUCCCCCAUUUCUUAACCUUUUUAGCCCAUUUUUUUUUAAAAUCCUCCAUUUUCGAUACUUAAUAACAUACACCUAAAAAGUUUUAAUUUUUUAGCCUCUUUAAGUGUCAUCCGAACCCAAAUAGUAAACUUUGGGUGUGAAAUCCGGCCACCCAUUUUUGUUGAGAAAUUGUUCAAUCUCAACCUCGUUUAAGGUAUAAAUAUUGCUUCUAUUCUUAUUGUAUUAUGUAUAUUGUUUUAUUUUAUGUUUUUGUAAAUUAUUAUUUGAGUUUUUUUAUUUUAUUAGUAAUAUUAUUGUGUUUUAUGUGUAUAGUGUCGGGAUUUUUUACGGUGGUCGUCGGAUUGCGGUUAUUAGGGGUUCGGCAUAAUUUUGUGUGUAGCGUAUUUGGGCUUGCAAUUAUAGACAUGGCGAACUCAGAAUCAGGAUCUGAUUCGGGAGCAGAAAAUGAGUGUCCAACCACAAUACCUACACGAGGGCCGACGCAAAUGAAUGAAAUAUCCAAACUAAUGGAUCAGGGCAAAAGAGUGGCCCUCGAAGUUAAUGAUAAAGGUCAAUACUGUGGAAAAAGCUACGCGAAGCUCGUAUCCACUCUGGGAGUCAGAUGUCGGCAGACAAUAGGGUUGGCUUAUAAAAAUUGGAAAGA